rnacentral:rRNA from 1 species
UGGGGAAUAUUGCACAAUGGGCGCAAGCCUGAUGCAGCCAUGCCGCGUGUAUGAAGAAGGCCUUCGGGUUGUAAAGUACUUUCAGCGGGGAGGAAGGGAGUAAAGUUAAUACCUUUACUCAUUGACGUUACCCGCAGAAGAAGCACCGGCUAACUCCGUGCCAGCAGCCGCGGUAAUACGGAGGGUGCAAGCGUUAAUCGGAAUUACUGGGCGUAAAGCGCACGCAGGCGGUCUGUCAAGUCGGAUGUGAAAUCCCCGGGCUCAACCUGGGAACUGCAUUCGAAACUGGCAGGCUAGAGUCUUGUAGAGGGGGGUAGAAUUCCAUGUGUAGCGGUGAAAUGCGUAGAGAUGUGGAGGAAUACCGGUGGCGAAGGCGGCCCCCUGGACAAAGACUGACGCUCAGGUGCGAAAGCGUGGGGAGCAAACAGG